GACAGAGGGUGCGAACGUUGUUCGGAAUUACUGGGCGUAAAGCGCGUGUAGGCUGUUCGGCAAGUCGGGUGUGGAAGCCCUGGGCUCAACCUAGGAAGUGCACUCGAAACUCCCGAACUGGAGUCCCGGAGAGGAAGGUGGAAUUCUCGGUGUAGAGGUGAAAUUCGUAGAUAUCGAGAGGAACAUCGGUGGCGAAGGCGGCCUUCUGGACGGUGACUGACGCUGAGACGCGAAAGCGUGGGGAGCAAACAGG
rnacentral:rRNA from 1 species